rnacentral:rRNA from 1 species
AGCGUAGACGGUGUGGCAAGUCUGAUGUAAAAGGCAUGGGCUCAACCUGUGGACUGCAUUGGAAACUGUCAUACUUGAGUGCCGGAGGGGUAAGCGGAAUUCCUAGUGUAGCGGUGAAAUGCGUAGAUAUUAGGAGGAACACCAGUGGCGAAGGCGGCUUACUGGACGGUAACUGACGUUGAGGCUCGAAAGCGUGGGGAGCAAACA